AUAUGAUGCUUUCGUCAGGACAGGACAUAACCUCACUUAUUUCAAAAAUUAAUAAAAAUAAAAUAAUAUUUUAUGUUUGACGUUUGUCGACAAACUUAAUGUUCAGGGAAUCAGGUAACUAAAUAAAAAAUGUUGGUUGGUUGCCAGGUAACGUGCAGUUUGUCUGUUCAAAAAAACUUUGUGGCAUAGAAAGGUCACUUUUCUGCACAAAAGUCAUAUUUCAAUUAGGUGAGAAAACAUAAGGUUCCUUAACUUAACUAAUGUAACAAGUGCAUUAAGUGGUACUUUUUUUCACGAAUGGAAAAAUUGACCGGCAAUCUCA
rnacentral:lncRNA from 1 species